UUGUUGUUGUUGGGAGUUGAGGAUUUGUGUGGUGAGUCAUUAGGAGUUCCGUGAUUGUUGUAAA
rnacentral:tRNA from 1 species